rnacentral:rRNA from 1 species
GCGCGAAAGUCCCUUCGGGGCCGAGUAGUUGCGGCGGACGGGUGAGUAAUACAUAGGUAAUCUACCUUCGAGCUUGGGAUAACCCCGCGAAAGUGGGGCUAAUACCGGAUAAGACCACGUAACCAUGUUGCGGGGUAAAAGGUGGCUUAUUUUUUAAAUGAGCUAUCACUUGAGGAUGAGCCUGUGGCCUAUCAGCUUGUUGGCGGGGUAAAAGCCCACCAAGGCUAUGACGGGUAGCUGGUCUGAGAGGACGACCAGCCUACACUGGGACUGAGACACGGCCCAGACUCCUACGGGAGGCAGCAGUGGGGAAUAUUGGGCAAUGGGCGAAAGCCUGACCCAGCGACGCCGCGUGGGCGAUGAAGGCCUUCGGGUUGUAAAGCCCUGUCAUGCGGAAAGAACGACCCUGUGACGCAUACUCACAGGGAGUGACGGUACCGCAGGAGGAAGCACCGGCUAACUCCGUGCCAGCAGCCGCGGUAAUACGGAGGGUGUAAGCGUUGUUCGGAAUUAUUGGGCGUAAAGGGCGCGUAGGCGGUAAUGUAAGUCAGAUGUGAAAUACUUCGGCUCAACUGAAGAACUGCAUCUGAAACUGCAUAACUAGAGUAC